UGUGAAAUAUCACGGCUGGAAACAGCAUCAUCCGAGACAAAUGAAGUGCUUCUGAAUUUAAGAAGAAAGAGAGAAGGGUUAGAAGAAAAAUUAAGAGAAAUAGCUUCAAUCGUUCAAGAAGCAGAUAGGGAAAUAUCUGUGCUGAGAAGUACAGCAGCAAACACGUCCAAAAAUAUGUCUGAAAUCAGGGAAACAAUUAAGCGCUUUGAGAGAGAAAAAAACGAGUUUAAGCCAUCAGUUAUCCCAAUUACAAGAUGCUGGUAAUACUUUGAAUAUUUAUGGUCCCUUUAUGCAGCAACUUAACGAACGGAUAAAUCAAGCCUGUGCUCGAGGUGCUUUCAAGCAUAGACCCAAAGGACCUCUCGGUCAGUAUGUUAAAGUGCAGGAUGCAGAAUGGGGUCCAGCAAUAGAAAGAUUUUUUGGACCGAAUUUGUUGAAAAGCUUCAUUGUUGACAAUAAAAAAGACAAUGAUACUCUCAUGAAGAUAAUGCGAGAGGUUUGCCGCAAUCAGAAAAGGCCGGAUAUACACUGUGGAACAUUUAAUAACACACUCUAUCCUGUACACAACAAAGAGGUCAAGUACAGACAGUACCAAAGUUUGUUUGGAGCUUUAGAAAUCAGUGAUCCAGAUGUUGCAAAUACCCUCAUCGAUUUUCAUAGCAUUGAAACUGUUCUUCUGAUUGACAGUAAUGACAUUAUCUGUAACUUGAUGGAGAAUGUUCAAAGAGUUCCGAGAAAUUGCUCCAGGUGCAUCAACAAGUUGCUGACACGUACUAUCCAGCCCCUAGCUAUCGUCAGUACGAUGGGUUAGAUCCCCGUAAAAAUCAUCGCAGCCAAUGGCUCCAAGUUAGCAUUGAUGAAGCGCGAAAUUCAUUGGCAGAAAAAAUUGAAGACAUGAACCAACAGAUUGCCUCAGAGAGUAAUAAACUUCCGCCAUUACAACAAGAUUUGGAGGCAAACCAUGCUGAAAUAAGAAACUGGCAAAGUAUAGCUGGAGUCAAAAGAAAGGAAAUAGCUGACAUUCGGCGAGAGCUCAACAAUGAGGAAGAAACCGACACCGAAGAGUAUCGUUUGCCUCUUCUAAAAGGUGAAUUACAAGACCUGAGAAACGAUAUCACACGAACAGAGACAAAAAUUAGCAACCUGAGGGAAGAGACAGAAACUUUGAAAAAUCAAAUGAAAGAAUCAAAGGAUGCAUGCGAGCAAUCGCAAAAGUUUGUUACCACCGGUGAAGAUUCUGAAAUCUCCAAGGAGCUUGAUGCCAAGAAGGAUCAGCUGAAAGAGUUGGUGGCUGAAAAGAAGCGUUUGAAUAACAGGGUGGUUGAAGCCUCAAAAAAAAUAACGAUAAUUGAAAAAAAAAUACAAGAUUUGAAGAAACAAGAAGAAGAUGAAAGACAGGAUGCGGCCAAGCUUGGUCCAGAAAUAGAAACUCGAGAUCUUGAAACCAUUGACCGGGAUCAUCGAGAAGUGGAGGCACAUAUCAAAGAAGCUGGUAGGGAGUCGCAUAUCCCAUAUGAAGAACUUUGCGUGGAAAUUCUACAGAAGAGAAACUCUCUCAAGAAAUUGCAAAAGCCCUGGAAAAAUUAGCAGCAUUAUUUGAGGUUGGUAUCUCCAAACUUACAGAACAUCUGAAUGAGAUCUUGAAAAAUCUGGACAGAUUUUUUUAAAAAAAACUACGAUGAAUUUCGCAUUUUUCCCCCUUUUUUUUCAGGAGAAAAAGGGGGCUUCUAUUUCGUAAGAUGUAUCUAUAUGCAUUUACUCAUAAAAAGAAAAGGGCACUUAACCUCACAGCAAGAGUUAGUGCAAGAAUUUCCAAGUAGCAAUGGAAAAAAAAUUAAAAUUCGAAUUAUUGUUUAUCUCUUUACUUGCAGGGUGCCUGCUGGGUUUGUUAAUGGCGGAAAUCAUGAAAAAAUAAAUUCAUCCAGAACUUACAGAAUCCCCUAAUAAAGACAGGAAUUUUUGCCCCAUCAUCUCUGUGAGAUGUCUGUUGCCUCUGUGUUGAUGGAACACGUAUUCUGAGAUUAUCAACUAUUUUUAAAUUUAUUGAUUGUUCAUUUCUUUUGUUUAAAAAAAUAUAAUCGCAAAUUUCUCAAAUCUAAGUCUGCAUGAGCCACACCAUAACUCGCUUUCAAAGACUUACUUCCUCACUAUCAAUCAAGAAACAACUAAUCUAAAUUGCCAUUGAGUGGAAAGUGAGGUGAGAUGAAACAACUCUUUCUGUUACUAACCCAUGCUCAAAAGGUGGAGGUGUUAGCUCAUUCAAAUUACCCAGGAUUGACAUGUAGCAUCACUGUUGAAAUAGGUCCUCAAAAAUGUUUGCUCUGCCGUCAUUAACCCUUUCAUUACCACGCCCAAGUAUACUCGGGCUACGAAAAGCGCGCGCUGUGCACCACGCCCGAGUAUUCUCGUUUUCGAAAAGUCACUUAUAGUCCAUUAUGAGACUUUUUAUUCGGCAUUAAAAUCCGUAAAUGGCAACGCAUCAGUCCCGGACUCGGGUGACCGGACCGCGCACCGAACACCCUCUUUUCUUCAGCGACCAUUGGUCGGCAACCCGUCCAUUGUGAGGGUAGGAACAAUGGGCACCCUUCAUCCCUUCCGAAUGAGCC
rnacentral:lncRNA from 1 species